rnacentral:rRNA from 1 species
CCUACGGGAGGCAGCAGUGGGGAAUAUUGGGCAAUGGGCGCAAGCCUGACCCAGCAACGCCGCGUGAAGGAAGAAGGCUUUCGGGUUGUACACUUCUUUUCUCAGGGACGAAGAAAGUGACGGUACCUGAGGAAUAAGCCACGGCUAACUACGUGCCAGCAGCCGCGGUAAUACGUAGGUGGCAAGCGUUAUCCGGAUGUAUUGGGUGUAAAGGGCGUGUAGGCGGGAGCGCAAGUCAGAUGUGAAAACUCAGGGCUCAACCCUGAGACUGCAUUUGAAACUGUGUUUCUUGAGGGCUGGAGAGGCAGGCGGAAGUCCUGGUGUAGCGGUGAAAUGCGUAGAUAUACGGAGGAACACCAGUGGCGAAGGCGGAUUGCUGGACAGUAACUGACGCUGAGGCGCGAAAGCGUGGGGAGCAAACAGGAUUAGAUACCCCAGUAGUC